rnacentral:lncRNA from 1 species
UACACCUGUACUUCUACCAGCAGUGGAGAACAGUGUGAUGAGCUACAUAAGGCUGAGGGUACACCUGUACGUCUACCAGCAGUGGAGAACAGUGUGCAAAUACAAUUUCCAAUUCUAACGCAGUUUAGUUCAACGAAACACCACGACGUCGUUUCACAAAUUGUAAACACAAAAUAUUCAUUUUAUUUGAUGAACUUAAAGACUACACAGAGCCGUUUAAACGGAAAUCUACAUGCUGCCUUUUAUUUACAGCUUAUUUCACUUUCGUUUUCAUAUUUACAGGAAGUCCAAGAAAAGCGCUACAAACACAGUGUUGCGAACAAUCAAAAACAAACAAGCCAAAAGGAGACUUCGGAUCAACAGCGCCUCGUCAUCGACAGUUGUCAGUGCAGUAUUCCACAAUACAAUUACAUUUUCCUUCAUUCGAAAGUAUGCUCUUUUUAAAGGACAGUAAAGUCCUCAUUUUGGACAAAUGUCACAGUAUUAAAAAAUAAAAAAAUAAAAUAAAAUAAGGAAAAUUAAAUGUACUUUGUACAGUAUGUCUGUUGACCAAUAUUGUCCACAUUGAGACACAUUGACUAGUUAAUCACCUGAUUAUCCUCCUCUCUGAAUCUAGGUGAUUGAUGGCAGGAAGUUGACAGAAUUAGUUAGUGCUGCAACUUGAUGGCAGGAAGUUGACAGAAUUAGUUAGUACUGCAACUUGAUGGCAGGAAGUUGACAGAAUUAGUUAGUGCUGCAACUUGAUGGCAGGAAGUUGACAGAAUUAGUUAGUACUGCAACUUGAUGGCAGGAAGUUGACAGAAUUAGUUAGUGCUGCAACUUGAUGGCAGGAAGUUGACAGAAUUAGUUAGUACUGCAACUUGAUGGCAGGAAGUUGACAGAAUUAGUUAGUACUGCAACUUGAUGGCAGGAAGUUGACAGAAUUAGUUAGUGCUGCAACUUGAUGGCAGGAAGUUGACAGAAUUAGUUAGUGCUGCAACUUGAUGGCAGGAAGUUGACAGAAUUAGUUAGUACUGCAACUUGAUGGCAGGAAGUUGACAGAAUUAGUUAGUACUGCAACUUGAUGGCAGGAAGUUGACAGAAUUAGUUAGUGCUGCAACUUGAUGGCAGGAAGUUGACAGAAUUAGUUAGUGCCGCAACUUGAUGGCAGGAAGUUGACAGAAUUAGUUAGUACUGCAACUUGAUGGCAGGAAGUUGACAGAAUUAGUUAGUGCUGCAACUUGAUGGCAGGAAGUUGACAGAAUUAGUUAGUACUGCAACUUGAUGGCAGGAAGUUGACAGAAUUAGUUAGUACUGCAACUUGAUGGCAGGAAGUUGACAGAAUUAGUUAGUGCUGCAACUUGACGUGUGAUCAAAGUGUACCUACCGAGCGAGAGUCAAAACAGACGACACAUCAAUAAUUAAUAACAUCAUUGCUAUCUAGAAAGGACAGCUUUCUAACAGGUUGAAGUGGAUCGCCCUGAAGUGUGUUUUCAGGUGCACUUGGACACAGAGAGUUCAGCUAGCUAUCUGAGACAGCUAAUUAUGUCCACAAGGGUGGUUUCCAAGGCACACCUGGGUUCAGAUCCUACUUGAAAUCUUUCAAUUUACUUUGAGCGUUUGCUUUAGCCUGUCUAGAGUGCCAGGUAGCUCGGGGUUAGCAUUUUGAAGAUUUUCCUAUUCGUUAUUUUGCAACACGCAAGCUCAAUCAAGCACUUGACACAGUAUUUUAAAAAUAUUUGAACCCAGGUGUGUUUCUAAGGUUGUCUGUGUAUAUGAGAGCUUUAAGACUGUUAAGAGCUGCAGGCUGGAACUAACACACCUGGAGGUUCAAUGCCUCCAUCUCAAGACCCAGAACACCUCUGGUCUCAGUACUGAAAGCACUUUAACCCUGGGGCUGUCCUCGGGGUAAAAAAGCUAUGGGUUGUCUGAAACGGCACCCUAUUCCCUAUUUAUAGUGCACUACUUGUGACCAAAGCUCUAUGGGUUCUGAUUAAAAGGAGUGCACACUAACAGGGAUUAGGGUGCCGUUUGGGACAAACAUUUCGUUUUUUUUCUACCCAACCACAAUGUACCACAGGACUCAUCUGGUCCAGGCCAGCAGCCGGUCCAGCCCAGCAGCCGGUCCAGCCCAGCAGCCGGUCCAGGCCAGCAGCCGGUCCAGCCCAGCAGCCGGUCCAGGCCAGCAGCCGGUCCAGCCCAGCAGCCGGUCCAGCCCAGCAGUCGGUCCAGCCCAGCAGUCGAUGUGUUAAAAAGGAGAACAUGUUUUAGUAAUGUCCUGUUUUUUAAGCAUCCAUAUCUCUUCUCACUAGGAACACUUUUCCUUCUCUGCCCUCAGAGCAUUCUUUCAAGGUAGAAAUACACUGAGAAAUACUGCUGAAACAAAAAACACACAUUACUAAAAGAAAACAAUAUUAUUAUGGAUGACAGACUGUUGUAUUCCUCUACAGUAAAUCAAAUAAAAUAAAAAAUACAAGUAAUUCAUGUCAAAUAAAAAUCAUUUUUUCAAACAUAGUCUGCCUUUAUUCCCUUAAGUUUUGUUCAAGAACAACGAGUAGUGAUUAAAGGACGAUAGUUCACAUUGCUGAAUUCAAAUGAUUUUGUUAUACUGUUAUUUUAUAUAGCUAUUUAUUAAAAACAAAAACCAAAGGUAAAAUAAAAUACCGUUCUGUGGUUUAUUAAUACAGACGUUUGAAUGAUUCUUCCACAGUAUGUUCAUCAUCCAGAUGGGAUGUUAGACCUGUUCUGUUAGGACAUCAGGACAGAAAGAGGACAGAUGUUCUGUUAGGACAUCAGGACAGAAAGAGGACAGAUGGGAUGUUAGGACAUCAGGACAGAAAGAGGACAGAUGUUCUGUUAGGACAUCAGGACAGAAAGAGGACAGACGAGAUGUUAGGACAUCAGAACAGAAAGAGGACAGAUGUUCUGUUAGGACAUCAGGACAGAAAGAGGACAGAUGAGAUGUUAGGACAUCAGAACAGAAAGAGGACAGAUGUUCUGUUAGGACAUCAGGACAGAAAGAGGACAGAUUAGAUGUUAGGACAUCAGAACAGAAAGAGGACAGAUGUUCUGUUAGGACAUCAGGACAGAAAGAGGACAGAUGUUCUGUUAGGACAUCAGGACAGAAAGAGGACAGAUUAGAUGUUAGGACAUCAGGACAGAAAGAGGACAGAUGUUCUGUUAGGACAUCAGAACAGAAAGAGGACAGAUGUUCUGUUAGGACAUCAGGACAGAAAGAGGACAGAUGUUCUGUUAGGACAUCAGGACAGAAAGAGGACAGAUGUUCUGUUAGGACAUCAGGACAGAAAGAGGACAGAUGAGAUGUUAGGACAUCAGAACAGAAAGAGGACAGAUGUUCUAGGACAGAUGUUCUGUUAGGACAUCAGAACAGAAAGAGGACAGAUGUUCUGUUAGGACAUCAGGACAGAAAGAGGACAGAUUAGAUGUUAGGACAUCAGAACAGAAAGAGGACAGAUGUUCUGUUAGGACAUCAGGACAGAAAGAGGACAGAUUAGAUGUUAGGACAUCAGAACAGAAAGAGGACAGAUGUUCUGUUAGGACAUCAGGACAGAAAGAGGACAGAUGUUCUGUUAGGACAUCAGGACAGAAAGAGGACAGAUGAGAUGUUAGGACAUCAGAACAGAAAGAGGACAGACGAGAUGUUAGGACAUCAGGACAGAAAGAGGACAGAUAGGAUGUUAGGACAUCAGGACAGAAAGAGGACAGAUUGGCUGUUUGACCUGUUCAGUUUUAGGAAUACGUCCUUGAUCCCAGACAGACAACAACAAAAAAACGUAAUAAAUCAAAGCAAAUACCAACGAUCCAAAAAUAUGUUCUCCCUCUUGUCUGCAUAUUCAGUAGAAUUUCACUUGUUCUGACGCGAGUCAGAAGAUUCGUGGAGCCGAGUCAACCGCUGUAUUAAGACUAGUCCACAGAAAGGUAUUCAGACAGCAUUUAAACAGCAUGCACUGUGGGUGCACUGCACCAGAUUCUCAACCUUCCUUCCUUUAGGGUUUGUUGAUGAGAACAGAUGAAUACCUAGCUUCCUCUGGAAAUAAAACAUGACAACAGGACAAUCACAAAACAAGGUAGGAAGGUAGGAAGGUGCUUGGACAAGUCCAGUGGGUAGUCUUGAUGAGGGGAGGGGAUCGAGGGGUAUGGACAGGAAACAGCACACGUCCUUGUUUGUUUUGCGACAGAAACGACGACAGGGCUGACGCCCAAAGGGGUUCGAGUAUAAAAACGGAGUGGUUUAAAAGAGAAAGUCUUUCCUUGGCUGAGGCGCAGAAAAAGGCAGAACGGAUCGGAGCAAGCUAGACAAUGUGUUGUAGUCAAUCUGUUCUAGUCUGUUCUGGCAGCAGGGUGGACCGAGGAGCCAGUGGAAAUAAUGCAUUACCACCUCUCCUCUCCUCUCCUCUUCCUCUUUCUCCUCCUCUC